UACUUCCUAAGUAUUAAUAUGUUCCAGUACUCAUAAAAGCACCCCCCCCCAGGUUUUUGUGAUUCCCUCUGCAUGUUUAGCUUUGCAGCUUGGUGGUUUGGACCCCUCUGUACUUCAGAAUGGGUGCUGUGCCUAUAACCUGCUGGUGGAUUUUAUAUUCUGGAUUAAUUUUUCUUAAGACCAUUUGGUCCUAUGCACUGUAUUGCAUUUUCACGCAGCUCAGUGAUCAAUUAAGACAGCUUGUUAAUAAGGUAAAUAACUUUAUAUCUAAAAAGACACAUAAAACCCUGAAGUGGAAGGAAGCAGUAGGAGGUGGCAGUGUUCAGGGGUCUUUCACAGUAGGAGGUGGCAGUGUUCAGGGGUGUUUCACAGUAGGAGGUGGCAGUGUUCAGGGGUGUUUCACAGUAGGAGGUGGCAGUGUUCAGGGGUGUUUCACUGUAGGAGGUGGCAGUGUUUAGGGGUGUUUCACUGUAGGAGGUGGCAGUGUUUAGGGGUGUUUCACUGUAGGAGGUGGCAGUGUUUAGGGGUGUUUCACUGUAGGAGGUGGCAGUAUUCAGGGGUGUUUCACUGUAGGAGGUGGCAGUGUUCAUAUUUGUUACAAAAGAUGGCAUGUCUUUCAGCGGAUUUAUUUACGCUUGACUUUAUAAUGUGUCUGACUGCGUAUUGUGUACCUUGAGGUUGUCCUUACACAUGCAAUCGUAGCCUCUUAAUACCCCAUUAUUGCUUAAAGCACUACAGAGCUUGAAUGAGUAUUUAAAAUGACUAAAGUCGAUUUAAAAGGAAUUGUAAUUUAAUGGAAAAGGAUACUCCUCUUGGACUGGAAGGAGCACUUCAGAUCUUACUAGGGACUUUUAAAGCAAAUGGCACAGAGAGUGGGUAAUGUCAGCAAGCUGUUUAAUUUACUUUAGUGGUUAUUGUACUAUGUGGUUAUGAGAGAGGUGUGAGGAUUUAUCACUGAUACAUUUCACCGUAUCUGCGAAUGUUCAGUGCUGCUAAUCACAGCCCUUGGUUUUCCGGUCUCCUCAUCCUCUGCACGCCUUCGCUUUCUUUCUUGACCUCUGUCAGGGGGCGUUUUGCGGCCAUUUGUCCUGCUGUAUCAAAGUCGACCAAUAGUCCGGGGAUGUUGACUCUAUCGAUUGCCUGCUCCUCAGGACCAAUACAAUCACAGAAAGUUUUACACAGAUGCUCAGAGAUUUUAAUAUUGGCACAGAGCCGUCUUAUCUUAUCUUAUCUUAUCUGUUUCUUACUUUUCUUUAUCUUGGUGAUAAGUCCUUUAUGACCUCCUUCCCAAAUUAACAAGUAUCAGUAGUGAUGAAUAUAUCUUGUUCUUCAGCACUCCUGAAGACAAACUUUCAGGAAAUGAUUGUUCAGAAACAGGGGUAUUGCAAUGGAAAUAAGUUGUAAAAUAAUUAGGUAAUGAAUAAUCCACAGGAGAGAGUUAAUAUUUUACAAUACGUUCAGAUAUUUUUCACAAGUGUCAAAUCUUCGCAAAGCCACAAAAAUUGUGAGCAAAAAUAUAAAUCAUAAGAAACAAUCCAGAAUUUUAUUCUUUUUGAGGAAUAAAACAAGCUAUAGAUUAAUACAGUAAGAAUAUGUGCUGAUUUCCAUACUUUAAGCAGUGUCUGAAUCGUCAGGCCUUUUGUGUGUCAUGUGAAAUGUCACUUC